rnacentral:rRNA from 1 species
UGGGGAAUAUUGCACAAUUGGCGCAAGCCUGAUGCAGCCAUGCCGCGUGUGUGAAGAAGGCCUUCGGGUUGUAAAGCACUUUCCGCGGGGAGGAAGGCGAUAAGGUUAAUAACCUUGUCGAUUGACGUUACCCGCAGAAGAAGCACCGGCUAACUCCGUGCCAGCAGCCGCGGUAAUACGGAGGGUGCAAGCGUUAAUCGGAAUUACUGGGCGUAAAGCGCACGCAGUCGGUCUGUCAAGUCGGAUGUGAAAUCCCCGGGCUUAACCUGGGAACUGCAUUCGAACCUGGCAGGCUAGAGUCUUGUAGAGGGGGGUAGAAUUCCAGGUUUAGCGGUGAAAUGCGUCGAGAUCUGGAGGAAUACCGGUGGCGAAGGCGGCCCCCUGGACAAAGACUGCCGCUCAGGUGCGAAAGCGUGGGGAGCAAACAGG